UAGGGAAUCUUCGGCAAUGGGGGCAACCCUGACCGAGCAACGCCGCGUGAGUGAAGAAGGUUUUCGGAUCGUAAAGCUCUGUUGUAAGAGAAGAACGUGUGUGGGAGUGGAAAGUUCACACAGUGACGGUAACUUACCAGAAAGGGACGGCUAACUACGUGCCAG
rnacentral:rRNA from 1 species